GCGACGAUCUGUAGCUGGUCUGAGAGGAUGAUCAGCCACACCGGGCCUGAGACACGGCCCGGACUCCUACGGGAGGCAGCAGUGGGGAAUAUUGGACAAUGGGGGAAACCCUGAUCCAGCCAUGCCGCGUGUGUGAAGAAGGCCUUUUGGUUGUAAAGCACUUUAAGCAGUGAAGAAGACUCUUCGGUUAAUACCCGGGGACGAUGACAUUAGCUGCAGAAUAAGCACCGGCUAACUCUGUGCCAGCAGCCGCGGUAAUACAGAGGGUGCAAGCGUUAAUCGGAAUUACUGGGCGUAAAGCGAGCGUAGGUGGCUUGAUAAGUCAGAUGUGAAAUCCCCGGGCUUAACCUGGGAACUGCAUCUGAAACUGUUAGGCUAGAGUAGGUGAGAGGGAAGUAGAAUUUCAGGUGUAGCGGUGAAAUGCGUAGAGAUCUGAAGGAAUACCGAUGGCGAAGGCAGCUUCCUGGCAUCAUACUGACACUGAGGCUCGAAAGCGUGGGUAGCAAACAGGAUUAGAUACCCUGGUAGUCCACGCCGUAAACGAUGUCUACUAGUCGUUGGGUCCCUUGAGGACUUAGUGACGCAGCUAACGCAAUAAGUAGACCGCCUGGGGAGUACGGCCGCAAGGUUAAAACUCAAAUGAAUUGACGGGGGCCCGCACAAGCGGUGGAGCAUGUGGUUUAAUUCGAUGCAACGCGAAGAACCUUACCUGGUCUUGACAUAUCUAGAAUCCUGCAGAGAUGCGGGAGUGCCUUCGGGAAUUAGAAUACAGGUGCUGCAUGGCUGUCGUCAGCUCGUGUCGUGAGAUGUUGGGUUAAGUCCCGCAACGAGCGCAACCCUUGUCCUUAGUUACCAGCGGGUUAAGCCGGGAACUCUAAGGAUACUGCCAGUGACAAACUGGGAGGAAGGCGGGGACGACGUCAAGUCAUCAUGGCCCUUACGACCAGGG
rnacentral:rRNA from 1 species